UGCGUGGGGGGUGGGAAAUCUGCCGUGGCUUAAAGACAAGCGAGAGACUGCGACUGAGCCUGCGCGGGUCCCACCUGGGCGAUCCUGUUUGACGGCGCGAGUUGGGCUCGGGUUCGCGCAAGCUGUUCCUCGCCCCUUGUCGACAGUGGUAGCACAUCCUUCUUUCUCGGGGCUUCAUACUACAGCAGGAGCUGCUCUGUACAGAGUCUGCACUGUUGGUCUGCCCUUUGACCGGAGACUCUCUCAGUCCAUUUAAGUUGAUGUGGUAGCAGAAAAUCCCCCCCAUUGUGGCUGAAUUCUGACAGUCUGCUAAGGUCCCAUGUGACAACUCACUCACCAUCUGACUGCACUCUGCAUUUUUUCCCUCAGUGCAGGUAGAAAAUUGGCAUUAUGAAACUGCUUCUUCCAAGAGCAAGGGCAUAAGGGCCCGGUCGCCCAUGGUACAGCCCCCACAGGAGUCGCAGCCAUCGC